GAUGAACGCUAGCGGCAGGCUUAAUACAUGCAAGUCGAGGGGCAGCAGGACUGUAGCAAUACAGUUGCUGGCGACCGGCAAACGGGUGCGGAACACGUACGCAACCUACCCAAAACUGGGGGAUAGCCCGGGGAAACCCGGAUUAAUACCUCGUAACCUUUUUAAGUGGCAUCACUUGAUAAGUAUAGCUCCGGCGGUUUUGGAUGGGCGUGCGCCUGAUUAGGUAGUUGGUGCGGGUAACGGCCCACCAAGCCUGCGAUCAGUAACUGGUGUGAGAGCACGACCAGUCACACGGGCACUGAGACACGGGCCCGACUCCUACGGGAGGCAGCAGUAAGGAAUAUUGGUCAAUGGACGCAAGUCUGAACCAGCCAUGCCGCGUGAAGGAUGAAGGUCCUCUGGAUUGUAAACUUCUUUUAUGGGGGACGAAACCCGGAUAUUCUUAUCCGAUUGGCGGUACCUCAGGAAUAAGCACCGGCUAACUCCGUG
rnacentral:rRNA from 1 species